ensembl:lncRNA
GGAGAGGGAAAAUGGGAAGCAUGUUUCAAAAAGAGGAAGGCGCUUAUUUGGGCAGGUGUAAGACAUUAGGCUGGCUGAAUUCGCUCAGUCGUGUCUGACUCUUUGCGACCCUACAGACUAUAGUCCACCAGGCUCCUCCGUCCAUGGGAUUCUCCAGGCAAGAAUACUGGAGUGGGUUGCCAUUUUCUCCUCCAGGGGAUCUUCCUGACCCAGGGAUCGAACCUAGGUCUCCUGCAUUGCAGGCAGACGCUUUAACCACCAAGCCACCAAUUGCAAAGUCCAGAUUUUUCUGACUUGGAGACUGGACUUUGGGGCUCUGAUGUCUUUUUCUCAAGAAGGCCUUGAGUUCCUAGAAGGUUCUGAGUCACCUCUUCCCCAGUGUCCAGCUCUGCACAUCAAUGGGAGAGACAGUUUUUGCUAAGACAAAAAAAUUAAAUAAGUGAAGACUGAGAAGGAUCCAUUGGAUUGGACUUGGAAUCAUUGUUGGGUAGACAUAUGGCUGCAGUGGUUUGAAGAGUGAAUGAAAGUAGAGACACCCUAUUUGGAUGGAUAUCACUAUGCACAGCUUACACUCAAGGAAUGAGGAGACAGGCUCCAUCUCUGUGUGAGUAGAGUAUCUACACAGAUUAUGAAGAAAUCUUCUGAACCACAGCCUUUUCUUUCCAAGAUUAAUAUGCUGACAGUAGCAGAAGAUGAGAGCAAUGAAGAGCCUCACAAAAAUAACAUUGCAAGUGUCUUAUGCACAUAUUUCUUGUACUAGUCAUUAACAUUUCCAUAGGCCAAGAAAAAAGUCAUUUAAUAGGAACUGCUGAUAACUGAGUGAUUUGAAUAACAUGAAGCUGAAGGACUGAAUCAACAUCUUUGGUGCUUUUUAUUUUCUAAUGUCUAAAUAGAACAGUUUGAAAAAUCAAGGUUAGUUUCACGUCCUUAUAAUUAGCCCUGAGAAUGAAAGAGAAACCACAGAAUAAAACAAACCGGUUGUGUUAGGCAGCGGUAGUAGUUUAUCUAGUCCUGUCACUUACUAGUUGUGUAAGCUAUGGCAUAUUACUUAACCUCUGUAAGCCUCAAUUUUCUAAACUACAAAUUAGAAAAAUAGUAAUGCCUACAUAAUUUUUGAGGUUUAAGUUACACAACAUAUCUCAAAAUGUAUUUGUAACCUAUAAAACUGCACUAGUUUGCUCAGGCUACAAAUUCCUGGGGCUGACACCCAGCCAUGGUGCACUGUAUAGACUUUUACACCUAAUGUUUAUUAGGUUGGUCAGAACCCAAGCUGCACUGCUGCUGCUGCUAAGUCCCUUCAGUUGUGUUCGACUCUGUGCCACCCCAUAGACGGCAGCCCACCAGGCUCUCCUGUCCCCGGGAUUCUCCAGGCAAGAACACUGGAGUGGGUUGCCGUUUCCUUCUCCACAGGCUGCACUAGUGUUGAUUAUUUUGACUCUCACCGCUGCUAGCCACUUGUGAGCUGCACAGAGAUCCUGCUUCCUCCUGGCCCUCACAGUCAUUUACUUAUGUCCUGUUGGGACAACCACAGUAUCUGGACCUUGCUACCUGUGAAUAAUUAAGAUGCUGUGUUGCUUAGAGAUCUGGGGGUGAGGAUUUUGAAAGGUAAUUUUUCCUCUUGCAGAACAUGUACCUGAAAUGUUGAGUCAGAAGCCAAGUCUGUAUAGCCCUUCCCAGGCUGUGGCUUGGUGGAUCCCCAUCUGUUGGUAUGAACAUUUAAGGCAGUGGACAGAUUUAGUGUUUGGCAAAGGUAGUUUUGUUCAUUUCCUUGGCUUCUUUUUGUUAAAAUGUUACCCAAAGUACUGUACACAUGAGGGAAAUUAUGUCCCUGAAUAAUUUCUUAAGUAUAAGCAAGUUAGAUAUAGAAAGCAAACAAAAAUUCCAAGCCAGGGGACUUCACUGGCAGUCCAGUGAUUAAGACUUUACCUUCCAGUGCAGGGGUGUGGGUUUGAUCCCUGGUUGGGAAGCUAAGAUCCCACAUGCCUCUUGCCCAAAGAAACCAAAACAUAAGAAACAGAAGCAAGAUUGUAACAAAUUCAAUAAAGACUUUAAUAAAAAAAAUUUCCAAGCCAUAUUUGAACUGAGUUAGGAAAUAGCUGCUCCAGGAAAUUACGUGACACCAGUAAAUAAGAAUAACAUUGAAGAGCAUCUCUUCAAACAUGUUACGUAUAACUUGAAGUCACUUAAUUGAAUCAAUUCCAUUUUUGCUGGAAAAAAAUGCUUAAUGGUUUUGGAAGAAAUAUUUAAUAAUAUAAUUUUCAAUCACAUUUCAUGUUUUGUUUUUCCAAGUCAGCAUUUGUCAAGAGAGUUUAGUUUCUGAUUUGUAAAAUUGUACCAAUUGUCUGAGGUUGAAUACACAAAUAUUUUUUAACAAUUGCAAAUCACUUAUUAAUGUGGGUUUUGUUAUUGUUGUUGUCAUUAUUUUUUUGUCAUGCUUUGUGACACAGAAUCUUAGUUCUCUGACCAGAGAUGUAAUGUGGGCUAUGGCAGUGAAAGCACCAAGUCCUAACCAGUGGAUUGCCAGGGAAUUUCCUUAAUGUGUUUAUUUUUAACGUUAUCACUUUGGGGAAAAAGUCAUUAUAUAUUGUAUUUUGGUAUUAAAAUUUAAAAUCAAUAGUCCAUAAGGAAAAACAAGAACAUUUCCAUGUCCUUCUUAUUGCUUAAUGUUAAAAAUUUGAUUUUCCUUUCAAGGAUGUAUGCUGCUAUUUGGGGGUAAGAAUAAAAAACUCAGUUCACCAUUCCAGAACCUGAUGGUUUUCCUUCCAUGAGUUACAAGUCUUAUAGUAUUAAAACUAUUCUGAAGUUGUUACUGGAUAAUGUUUGGACUAUCAACUUAUGUUUUUAUAUUAUAACUAAGCUUUUUAAACUUUAAGUGUCAUUUAAUUUUCUUAAGCAUAUCCCUUGAUAGU